CUCUGUUUUGCAGUCUCUCAAAGCUCUCUCAUAUUCCAUGGUGUUUCGGAUAGCUGUUUCAGAUUCGCAGUGAUCGGUUUGAUUAUUCGUGUUUCGUUAUCCUAUGCUUAAUUUUCUGGAAAUUUUGGUUUCUCUCUUGAUCGGUUGCCGAAGAUGUCUAUUUCUAGUUACUUAUGCUCGUCUGUAUGUCUUGUCAUGCUGAUGUAGCUCAGAUCGUGGAUUUGAAGUCAAGUGCCAAAACUUCGGAUUUGUUCUAGUUGGAACGGAAACGAUCGGUUUGAUCGAUACGUGUCUAGUUAUCCUGUGCUUGAUUUUGUGGAAAUUUCGCGUUUAUAUUGAUCGGUUGCUUAAGAUUUCUGUUUCCGAUUAUUUAUUGUUGGUAUGUCUCCAUGACUUGAUGUAGUUUGGAUCGGGGAUUCGAUUUUAGCUUGCUGCUUCCGGAUGUCUUUUGGUUGAACGGCAUGGAUCGGUUUGAUUAAUUCGUGCUUUGUUAUCCUAUGCUUGAUUUUCUGGAAAUUUUGGGUUUCUCUCUUGAUCGAUUGCCGACGAUGUCUAUUUCCAGUUACUCAUGUUCGUCUAUAUGUCUUGUCAUGUUGAUGUAGCUCAGAUCGUGGAUUUGAAGUCAAGUGCCGAGGCUUCGGAUUUGUUCUAGUUGAACGAAAACGAUCGGUUUGAGCGAUACGUGUCUAGUUAUCCUAUGCUUGAUUUUGUGGAAAUUUCGCCUUUAUAUUGAUCGGUUGCUUAAGAUUUCUGUUUCCGAUUAUUUAUUGUUGGUAUGUCUGUCAUGCCUUGAUGUGUCAUGCCUUGAUGUAGUUUGGAUCGUGGAUUCGAUUUCAGCCCACUGCUGCUUUUGGAUGUCUUUUGGUUGAACGGCAUGGAUCGGUUUGAUAAUAAGUGUUUGGUUAUCUUAUGCGCGAUUCUCUAUGAAUUUUGGUUUAUGUCUUGAUCGGUUGCCGAAGAUGUCUAUUUCCAGUUACUGACGUUGAUGUAGAUCAGAUCGUGGAUUUGAAGACGAGGGCAAGGCUUCGGAUUUUUUCUAGUUGAUCGGAAACGAUCGGUUUGAUCUAUACUUAGUCUAGUUAUCCUGUGCUUGAUUUUAUGGAAAUUUCGUGUUUAUAUUGAUCGGUUGCUUAAGAUUUCUGUUUCCGAUUAUUUAUUGUUGGUAUGUCUGUCAUGACUUGAUGUAGUUUGGAUGGUGGAUUCGAUUUCAGCCUGUUUCUUUCGGAUGUCUUUUGGUUGAGCGGCAUGGAUUGGUUUGAUAAUACGUGUUUGGUUAUCUUAUUCGUGGUUCUCUGUGAAUUUUGGUUUAUGUCUUGAUUGGUUGCUGAAGAUGUCUAUCUGCAGUUACUUAUGCUCAUCUGUAUGUCUUGUCAUGUUAUGUUGUUCAGAUUGUGGAUUUGAUAUCAAGUUCAAGGCUCCGGAUUUGUUCUAGUUGAGCAAAUAGAUCGGUUUAUCCUAUGCUUGGUUUUUUUGAACUUUUGUGUUUAUAUUGAUCAGUUGCUUUCAGUUUCUCUUUCCGAAUAUGUAUUGCUGCUUUGUCUGUCAUGACUUUAUGUAGUUCGGGUCGCAGAUUCGGUUUCAGCAGCAUGCUUUCGGAUUUCAGGCAUGCUUUCGGAUUUCAUUUGGUUGAACGACCUCGAAAGGUUUAAAAGCUUGGUUCUAGUCCUUCAUCACUCAUCAGCAAGCUUGUUUGAAUGACAAUGAUCGGUUUGGCAGGCCUUUGAAUUUCCCUUCAUUAGUAGACUCAUUUAAUAUUUUAUUAGACUUAAAUUUAUGGGUUCUUUGCUGUUUUGGUUAUUCAUCCUAGGUUUGAUCUAAUAUUGGGGUUCAUUAACCUAACUAAUGCUAAGAGGUCCCAUGUAGAGCAGCCCAGUCAGUCCCAUGAUGAUCAUUAGUGGCCUUGCCAAGCUUGGUUUUAUUCCUUCCAAAAAAUUGUCCUUGAAUUUUGGUUUUGAUUUCCCAAAAUUUCUUCACUCUUUUACUGUAUAUAUUUUAGUAUAAUCCUAAUUCUUCCUUUAUAUUUAUUCUUCUGCAUAAUUGCAGGUCUAGUUGUGGUGUUCCAUGAUGAUCAUGAUCAUUAGUGCCCUUGUCAAGCUUGGUUUUAUUCCUUCCAAAAAUUUUUGUCCUUGAAUUUCGGUUUUGAUUUCCCAAAAUUUCUUUUCUCUUUUACUGUAUAUAUAAUUAAGUAAAAUCCUAAAUUCUUCCUUUAUAUUUAUUUUUCUGCAUAAUUGCAGGUCUAGUUGUGGUUUAGAAAGACCAGUUCAGGACAUCUUCCAAUUGUAAAAAUUUUGGUUUGGUUGUGGUUUUGUUUUUUUUGGUGCUUUUGCCCUUUUCCCUUCACUAGUAGAGUAGACAUAUCAUUGUUUGUUUACCCUUUAACUUUUUGGGUUUUCUUUGCUCUUGAUGUUCUUUCUAGGUAUAAUCCAAGAUUAGGUUGAUUAACCAAGUUCCUAGAGGAGGAAGCCAGUCCAUUCACUGUUGUAUGAUGAUCAUUAGUGAUUGUGGAUUUGAUAUCAAGUUCAAGGCUCCGGAUAUGUUCUAGUUGAGCGAAUAGAUCGGUUUGAUCAUUAAACGUUUCAGUUAUCCUAUUCUUGGUUUUCUGGAAAUUUUGAGUUUAUAUUGAUCGGAUGUUCAAUUUCUCUUUCUGAUUUGGUUUUCUAUUUGAUCUGUUCCUAAAGACUUCCCAUCCAAUUACUUAUUGUUCUGUCUUGACUUGAUGUAAUCCAGAUUGUGGCUUUGAUGUCACCUGCAAGUUCUUGGAUUAUUGUCCUGAUUGAAGUGUUGAACAACAUAGAUCGGUUUGAUUAGUUUUAUCUUCUGGAAAUUUUGGUUUGUAUAUGAAUUGUUGAGAUAUCCAUUUUCCACUAUAUAUGGUUGUCUUUUGGUCUGAUGAUGCAGCUCAGGUUAUGGAUUCGAUAUCAGCUGCAAUGUUUUGGAUUCUUGUUCUGAUUAAACAACUGAAAUGGGUUUGGUUAAUUUGUGUUUGGCUCUCCUAUGAUUGCAUCUUUGGAUACUAUUUGUUGCAUUAAUGUUCCCACUAUAAUUAUUCCAUCUCUUAUGUACUUCAGAUCAUGGAUCCUUUUAUGUCAGCUAUGCAAGGUUUCAGCUGCCUUUUCUGGUUAAAUGACAUAGAUUGGUUUAAUUUAUUCAUAUCUUACUCUAUGUUUUUUUUUUCCUUUUUUGGAAAUUUUGCUGUCUUUAUGGGAUUGCUAAGAAUUUUGUUACCCCAGUUAUUCAUCAAUCUUUUGAUCUGACUUGAUGAUCAGAUUGUGCAAUCUAUGCCAGCUGCAAGGUUUUAGAUUCAUAUUCAUGUUCCGUGUGAUCGGGUUGAUACUCAACAAUAUGGUUUAGAUCUCAGAAUCAAUUUCAGCUGCAAGGUUUCAAAUGCUUAUUUGGUUAGCAAGGUCAAUUGGUUUCAUUAGAACAUUCUUGUUUAUCCUAAUGCUUGAUCAUAUUUUGUCAUGAGUUUUUAAAAUUUCAGUUUCUGAUUAUUUACAGUUUAUGUUGACAAUUCUUAUGGAGUCCUUUGGUAUUCAGAUGUGUAUGGUUUUCAACCCUGGCCUAUUCUCUUGUAUUUUUAUUUGGUUAUUUCAUUUCUGUAAUCAAAAUGAUACUUAAAUCCUUUGAAUCUUUUGGCUUUUUAGAAUGUGGUAUGUGGUAGUAGGUAUAGUUGGUGAGCCAUAAUGGAUUUUUUUAUUUGGAAAGGUCUAGAUGUGUUCUGCGUUUGAAGGGUUAGUUCUGGUCAUUUUCCAUUCAUGAAAUAAUUUGGUUUUGGUUUGUGGUUAAUUAUCCUUUUUUCUGUGCUUUUGCCCCUCUCCCCAUUCCACCAGUAAACACAUUAAUAUUUGAUCAGACUUAAUUUUGUUGGGGAUUCUUUGCUCUCUUGAAAUUCAUUCUAGGUUUGAUCUAUAAGAUUUGGGGUUCAUUAACCUAAUGCUGAGAGCUUGCACCAGCCAGUCUUAUGAUUAUCACUAGUCGCCUACACUUGAGCUUGGUUCUAUUUCUCUAACUUGUGCAUGAAGUUCAGUUGUGGUUCCCAAAAUUUUCUAUACUCUUUUACUACAUACUAUAUUUUAUAUAAUUAAGUAAAAUCAUAUUCCUUCUCUUACAUAUAUUCUUCUGCAUAUAUGCAGGUCUAGAUAUGUUGAAAUCCCAGUUGUAUGAUUAUCAUUAAUGGCCUUCUUGAGUUCAGUUCUUUUUCUAUUUAACUUUUGUCCAUAAAGAUUUCAGUUGUGAUUUCUCAUAUUUUUUGCACUCUUUUACUACAUUACUUGCACAAUGUACAUUAGUAAAAUCCAUAUUCCUUCCCUUAUAUUCUUCUGCAUAUUUGCAGGUCUAGAGAUAUUGUGUUGUAAGUAUCCGUUCUGCUCAUCUUCCAUUUUGAUGUGGUUAAUUGUUCUUUUAUUCUGUGCUUUUGUGCCUCUCUCUCUCUCUCUCUCUCUUUAUGUGGCGUUAAUAUUUCUUUAUACUUAUGCAGUUCUGCUCUUUAUACUUAUCGUUGGUGCUGAUUCAUGCAAAUUUCAGUUUGAUUAUUGGUUCAAUUGUAUCUUCUUCUUUGCCCCCUUCUUUGGUUUUUGACUUAAAUUUUACUAACUUUUUUUCAUUAUUUCCCCACUCCAAUACUACCCUUAUUAUUUUUGUAUAUAAAUAUAUAUGAAUUUAUAUUGGGUUCUUUGCUCUUUGUAUGUUUCAAGGUUUGCUCUAGUUGUGGUACAUGAUGUGUCGAAGAACUCUGAGUAAGGAAAAUUUAAGUCUAAAUUCUUGAUUGUUAUAGAUAGUUUCUUGUUUCUAGUGUGUAGUGUGUCCAGGAAAGAGCUUCCAACCAGGGUAGCUUUCAGGAAUCAACUACUUCCUACACUCUUUUGGGAUUUGCUUUAAUGCCAUGUUAUUGAUUAUACACAAAAUCCAUGUCCCGUCUGAGAUGGUAAUAACCACUUGAUUAUUAAGGAACAGUAUAUGAUGUCAACUACUUCUGAUGCUAAGUUUUGGGAUUUGAUUUUAAUGCCAUGGUAUUGAUUGAUGUUUAUGGAUGCUAUAAUAAAUUGGUCUGGUUUGUGACAUCUUUUGGUAAUGGCCACCUGACUCUGAAGGAACAGUAGAUAUUGAUUUGGUUUUGUCCUACUUGGAGCUAGAGUCCAGCUACUGAGGUAUUAUUGUUCGAGAUAUUAUUUUCCCUAGAUUGCCAGCCCAUGUUUUGUUCUUUGUCUUGUCUCAUGAUUAAUUUUGUCACUUACGUUUUCUAGAGGCAUAAUUCUCAUGUAGAGAAACUAAUGGCUUGGAGUUAAAUAGCGACAUGAUGAUUAGCCCAUCCUCUUGCCUGGUUACAUGUACUGAAGUCUGUCUGAAUCUGGUUAUAUUGGGAGCAUGAAAGAGAUGAGCUUUGAUUAUUUAAACUCAAAUCAAAAUCCUGAUAUUCUUUCCAACCAUCUGACUUGAGCAAUGGAUAUUCUUUCUGGCACAUCUGAAUUGCAUACUCUCUUUGUUGUCUGAGUUGGGGGAAUUCUUUUACCGUUUUCUUUACAGUUGACAAUGGGUUGUAAUGUGAGCUGAUGAACUUCAUUAACAACAAUCUUGUUUCCAUGUGAGAUGGCUUAUGUUGUGUGAACUAAUGAACUACUUCUUUUACAAAAUCAGUAUGAACAUGAAGGUGCAUGAUUUGGCCUUUUGCGGUGCUGGUCAUUGCAAGUAUUUGCAACUACAUGGAUUCUCUGUUUAAUUGUUUGGCAGUUCUGGUUCAUGUCUACUAGAAAUGGUUUAUCUACAGCAUGUCGACAAUUGUCUCCGGUUUUGUUUGUCACUUGUUUUCUGCACUCCUUGAAGAAUGCUUUUCUAGAGAAUGGUUUCUCCCUAGUGAAAGACUGUUUUUCUGACUUUUUUAAGAGUACAAAGGUAGCUUUAUGUAAUUAAUUAAUGAUUGCCUGUCUGAAAGGCGUCUGUUUAUGAUUUCUCCUUGUGAAGAUGCUCCUACUUGGGCUGGUUUUCUAGAGAAUGGGUCUCUCUUUUGUGAAAACGAAGUUAAGAGAAUGCUUUACUUGAUUGUAUAUCAACCUUAAUUGGAGAUACAUUUUGGGUGGCUCAAGUGUAUGCAGUAAAGGUUCAACAUAGAUAUCAAACAAAAAUGUUACAUAAUGUCGGUGAUAAUUGUUGGUUUUGUUCAACAAUGUGUAUUCAUCAGAAACUCAAAUUCAUGGUUUUAUUUUCCAAGAUGGUAAUGCUUGCAUCUUUAGUUUGAA